AAAGAUUAAGCCAUGCAUGUCUAAGUAUAAACGAUCUAAUCGUGAAACCGCGAAUGGCUCAUUAUAACAGCUAUAAUUUACUUGAUCUUGACACUAUCCUACUUGGAUAACUGUGGUAAUUCUAGAGCUAAUACAUGCAUUAAAGCUCUGACCUCACGGGAAGAGUGCACUUAUUAGAACAAAACCAAGCGGCUUCGGCUGUUUUCGGUUGACUCAUAGUAACUGAGCUGAUCGCACGGUCUUGCACCGGCGACGUGUCUUUCAAGUAUCUGCCGUAUCAACUUUCGAUGGUAGUGUAUCUGACUACCAUGGUGAUCACGCGUAACGGAGAAUAAGGGUUCGGCUCCGGAGUGUUCGCCUGAGAAAUCGCGAACACAUCUAAGGAAGGCAGCAGGCGCGAAAAUUACCCACUCUCAGCACGAGGAGGUAGUGACGAAAAAUAACGAGACCGUUCUCUUAUGAGGCCGGUCAUCGGAAUGGGUACAAUUUAAACCCUUUAACGAGUAUCUAUGAGAGGGCAAGUCUGGUGCCAGCAGCCGCGGUAAUUCCAGCUCUCAAAGUGCAUAGAAUUAUUGCUGCGGUUAAAAAGCUCGUAGUUGGAUCUGUGCCAUAGGACGUGGUCCACCUUCUGGGUGCGUACUAUGUUCCUAGGCUUUUUGCUGGUUUUCCCGUCGUAGCCUUCAUUGGUUGCGGCGGGUGGCUGGCGAGUUUACUUUGAGAAAAUCAGAGUGCUCAACACAGGCGUAUCGCUUGAAUGAUUGUGCAUGGAAUAAUAGAAAAGGAUUUCGGUCCUCUUUUAUUGGUUUUGUGGACUGAGAUAAUGGUUAACAGGGACCAACGGGGGCAUUCGUAUCGCUGCGUGAGAGGUGAAAUUCUUGGACCGUAGCGAGACGCCCUACUGCGAAAGCAUUUGCCAAGAAUG
rnacentral:rRNA from 1 species